rnacentral:rRNA from 1 species
CUUAGUGGCGGACGGGAGAGUAACGCGUGGGUAACCUGCCUCACACUGGGGGAUAACAGUUAGAAAUAGCUGCUAAUACCGCAUAAGCGCACAGUUCCGCAUGGAACAGUGUGAAAAACUCCGGUGGUAUGAGAUGGACCCGCGUCUGAUUAGCUAGUUGGUGGGGUAACGGCCUACCAAGGCGACGAUCAGUAGCCGGCCUGAGAGGGUGAACGGCCACAUUGGGACUGAGACACGGCCCAAACUCCUACGGGAGGCAGCAUG